CGCGUAGGUGGUAGUGUAAGUCUGGGGUGGAAUCCCAGGGCUUAACCCUGGAACUGCCUUGGAAACUGUAUUACUUGAGUCAGUGAGGGGAGGGUAGAAUUCCUGGUGUAGCGGUGAAAUGCGUAGAUAUCAGGAGGAAGGCCUGUGGCGAAGGCGGCCCUCUGGCGCUGGACUGACACUGAGGCGCGAAAGCGUGGGGAGCAAACAGGAUUAGAUACCCUGGCAGUCCACGCCCUAAACGGUGGGCACUAGGUGUAGGGCUCGUAAGGGUUCUGUGCCGAAGGGAAACCAUUAAGUGCCCCGCCUGGGGAGUACGGCCGCAAGGUUGAA
rnacentral:rRNA from 1 species